UACGUAGGGGGCAGGCGUUGUCCGGAUUUAUUGGGCGUAAAGAGCGUGUAGGCGGCCAUACAGGUCAGCUGUGAAAACUCGAGGCUCAACCUCGAGACGUCGGUUGAAACCGUAUGGCUAGAGUCCGGAAGAGGAGAGUGGAAUUCCCGGUGUAGCGGUGAAAUGCGCAGAUAUCGGGAAGAACACCCGUGGCGAAGGCGGCUCUCUGGGACGGUACUGACGCUGAGAAGCGAAAGCGUGGGGAGCGAACAGG
rnacentral:rRNA from 1 species